AUGCCGUGAUGAUGGCACUUUUGUAAUAACUCUUUGAAUUGCUCACAUGCCUUAUAUAAAGAUUCUUUAUCAUGUUGCUGAAAUAAAGUGAUUUCAUUUCAGAUUUU
rfam:Gossypium arboreum cultivar AKA8401 contig_993_5, whole genome shotgun sequence.